GCUGGACCAAAAGGCACUCAAGCUGUGGCAGAGAAGCCAAGCAGAGUAUGGACAGUGAUAGCCCCAGAACCGAAAGCAGUCAGCCUUAUUCUGAUGAAGGACUAGUAUAUCAAGAAGCAGAUACAAGAAUCAGUUGAAGUCAGAAAAAGAUGAAAUAAAGGAAAUGUUACAGAUCUGCAGAGUACCAUGAGUUGGACUCAAGAAGUUGACAGGACUUGUAGACCAGACAGUCUUGGUAGAGGAGACUGAGCUUCAGGGAGGUGACACAGCUGGCUGAGGAUGCUGGGGCAGGUCAGGACACUGUGGCUGGGGGUGCAUGAAGGUAAUGUUGGUAGGGAUGUGCAGGUAGAUAAA